rnacentral:lncRNA from 1 species
AGGUCCUGAUACAUUUUAAUACUUUCGGGAUGUAUCGUAUAACGAGAAUGAUGUGCUUCUUCUAAGAUAGCUUUCUUUACACUCUUAUCAUUCGAGACACAAACCCGACCUUUGAAUCUUAGCAAAUCCUCACUACAUAUAGAGAAUUCAUCUCUCUUUCCUUGCUUUACCUCUUCUAUAAUUGUUAUAAGCUGAUGGUCUUUCUUUUGUGCCAAUCGAAUCUGUUGGAUUAAUUGGGGUUCCGCCUUAAUGUUGGCAGUCAUACUUACCACACCAUUAAUGGACGGAGUUGGAUGCCAAUCCACUAUUUCCUCUAACAAUCGC